CAGCACGCUGGAGCUGGAGACAUGCUGCCAGGAAGGCCCCAAUAAACAUCUAGUCUCUCUGUUUAUUUGUGACCAAGGAUAUUUAUACUGCAAAGUCCUUUAAAUUAAGCUGGGGACACACCCAGGCACCAUCCAGUGCUGACGGCUGUGCAGGAGCUCCCAGCACAGCCAGCAUCAGCACGGGUGGUGAGUGCACCAGUGGCACCAGAUGUGCCCCAGGACCAGGACAUCCAGGACCAACACCCACCAUGGGGCACAAGGACAGAUGUGAUGCCAGCCAGCCUGUGAUUACUCUCGACAGUUAAGACAGCCCCAUGUCCUCCUAUAAAUUUGCUGCGCCUCAUCCCGCUCUGACACUGUGUCUUUCAGCUCCAGCUUGUCCUAAAAUCCCUGCCUCUUGGACCAAAAUAAGUCCUGAACAACUCUACCUCUGAGCAGUAGAAGCUCAGGGCUGGCCAGUGUGAACAGUGUCCACAUGCUCAUCACCUCAGCAUCCUACCCCACCUCAUGGGGACCACGGACCUGGGUGCUCCCCUGGCCUAGCCCAUCCCUUACAGCCUUCUGCAGCUCUCCCCUCUGUCCCCUGCUUCCCUUACUGCUGCCAGGUCACAUUAAAUGCUGCAAAGCUUCAUGGCA